AUUGAACGCUGGCGGCAUGCUUUACACAUGCAAGUCGAACGGCAGCGCGGGCUUCGGCCUGGCGGCUAGUGGCGAACGGGUGAGUAAUACAUCGGAACGUGCCCAGUAGUGGGGGAUAGCUCGGCGAAAGCCGGAUUAAUACCGCAUACGACCUGAGGGUGAAAGCGGGGGAUCUUCGGACCUCGCGCUAUUGGAGCGGCCGAUGGCAGAUUAGCUAGUUGGUGGGGUAAAGGCCUACCAAGGCGACGAUCUGUAGCUGGUCUGAGAGGACGACCAGCCACACUGGGACUGAGACACGGCCCAGACUCCUACGGGAGGCAGCAGUGGGGAAUUUUGGACAAUGGGCGAAAGCCUGAUCCAGCAAUGCCGCGUGUGUGAUGAAGGCCUUCGGGUUGUAAAGCACUUUUGGCGGGAACGAAAAGGACUGUGCCAAUACCACGGUUCGAUGACGGUACCCGCAGAAUAAGCACCGGCUAACUACGUG
rnacentral:rRNA from 1 species